rnacentral:rRNA from 1 species
UAGGGAAUCUUCCGCAAUGGACGCAAGUCUGACGGAGCAACGCCGCGUGAGUGAUGAAGGUUCUCGGAUCGUAAAGCUCUGUUGCCCUAGACGAACAGCAGGGGUAGUAACUGACCUCUGUGUGACGGUAUAGGAGAAGAAAGCCCCGGCUAACUACGUGCCAGCAGCCGCGGUAAUACGUAGGGGGCAAGCGUUGUCCGGAAUUAUUGGGCGUAAAGCGCGCGCAGGCGGUUGGUUAAGUUUGGUGUUUAAGCCCGAGGCUCAACCUCGGUUCGCAUCGAAAACUGGCCAACUUGAGUGUAGGAGAGGAAAGUGGAAUUCCACGUGUAGCGGUGAAAUGCGUAGAGAUGUGGAGGAACACCAGUGGCGAAGGCGACUUUCUGGCCUAUAACUGACGCUGAGGCGCGAAAGCGUGGGGAGCAAACA